AAGUGUUUGUGUGUGUGUGAUUGUCGAGUGUGAUGGGCCAUUGAGGUGUUGCAGUUUUUGUAAAGGCCCAUUGAUCCGUUACGCACAAAUCCCCACAUGUAACCAAUGGAGCUGUAGGUGGAGCUGCAGGGCAGGCAUUAUAUACAUCAGAGACCUUGCAAUUAAAACAAAUAGCCCCACAUGUCUGAAACGAUGACUCAUCGUGCCAUGUGAGUCAUUUCAGCUUGCGUGGCUUGCUAGGAAAUACCUUCAUUUAGGUGUCUGUGCUGAUGGCAUUAUUGUUAGUACGUAGAUGUCGGAGCUGAGUGUGUUUGGGUGAGGGAGUUCACAGCACAUUGGAUGUGAUAAUGGUUCAGGAGUCAACAGUGUUUUGGUGGGCAGGUUCACCUUGAUGACUUCACCGUUUGAUCUAUUGGACCUACUGUGGCUUGUAUCUUCAAGUUUACCAUGCUGGGUUCAAGACUGGAACAAAUGCAUGCACCCUUCCUGCUGCUUUCAACUAGAAGCACCUCCAACUGGAAUCUGAUCACUGUGUUACUUUCAGGGUUUACCCCAUGUAACUGUGUAUCAUUGUGUACAUGUUUUGCGCACAAUUCAGUUUGUGUGUUGCUGUGAACCAAGAACGGGCCAUUUAGAGGUCACCCAAUUUUGCAGUUUCCUCCUCAGCUGAAGAAAGAUCGAGGUUGUGCUGAGUAAACAUGCCACUUGCUAGCAAGGUUGAACAAAUAAUGUGGUUACUCAAUUGCUACUGACAGCCAGCUUGUCCAUUAGAUAAACAUACAUGACCCGGCUCCACAACCCUAGAUGACCCAAGUUGACCUGAGGAGCCUUGGCCUUGAUAUGACUGUUUCCUGUGGACGCCCAGGGCGGGUGCAUGCUGCAUGUUUUUGACUGCCAGAUAACUGCGGCGGCCAUGACUUGGUGUCUUGUGGGUAACACAGGGGCAGUUCACAUUUUGCCUCAGUCUAUGAUCUUCGUCGGGCGAGACAACUGCGACAUUAACAUUCAGUCUCGGAGCGUUGAUAAGCGCCACUCUGUCAUUAACUUUGACCAAUAUGACAAGGCUUUUUUCAUCAAGGACAUGGAGACUUUAAAUGGGACAUUUGUUAAUGAAACCAGAAUACCUGAUCAGACUUAUAUCAGUUUGCAGCGUGGAGACUCUAUUAGGUUUGGAUAUGAUA